rnacentral:misc_RNA from 1 species
CUGAACGCCUCUAAGUCAGAAUCCAUGCCAGAACGCGGUGAUUUUUUCCCACACAUCGUAGUCGGAUACGAAUAGGCCUAUGGCCCUGAAUCUUAGCUGGUUGGCAACGGUCGUGCGGUGAAAGUCCGUACGGCUAGCUGACGUCUUGCAAUUUUACCAUGCGUGGGGUUAAAAACUUUGCAUACGACUUAGACAUAUCACCCGGUGCUGUAAAUAGUAGAGUAGUCUUGUUAUUACGAUCUAUUGAGGCUAAGCCGUGGCGAUUUAUUUUUGAGAGUAAUCUCCCUAAAGACAUGCCUGAUUCAGGCGGUCUUAAGGGGGGGGUGCGCGACAGGAGGGGAUUGUUGGCUCAGGGGCAGUGAUCUGAGGGUAGGCCAGGUGUGUGAGAACAGGGACUUGAGAGAGAGGCCUCUACACUGCGAGACAAAGGACCGGCAUAAAAAUGACUUCGCCGCUCGGGGGUGUUACAGUGGGCGAACCACUGAAGGGGGACGCGGAGGGGUACUACAGAGGACAGCUACAGUGGACCGCCCACUGAAGGAGGUCCCGGUAGGGGCCACACUGGACCUACCUUUGGAUCUGCCUUGGGGGGCUAUUACAGUGGGUGCUACAGUGGGCAGUCCACUGAAGCAGGUGCCUGUAGGAGGCGGGGUCACAAUCGACCUACCCUCGGAUUGAAAUGACGGGGGAAAAAACCUGGCCGCACACCUUGCCUACCCUCGGAUCCGUCCUAGGGACUGGCUAUAGUGGGCGUUACAGUGGACCACUCACUAGAGGAGGUGCCUGUAGCAGGCUGGGUCACGGUCGACCUACCCUGUGAUCUAUCCUAAGGGACCGCUACAGUGGAUACUACAGCGGAUAGUCCACUGAAGGGUGGCGCUGGGGGUUCCUAUAGUGCACAGCUACAGUGGACGACUCACUGAAGGACGUCCGUAGGGGGCGGGGCCACAAUUGACCUACCCUCGGAUCGAAUUGACUUGGACAAAAAACCUGGGCUCACAUUUCGCCUACCCUCAGAUCUGCUCCAGGGGGCAGCUUCAGUGGGCGUUACAGUGGGCAGCCCACUGAAAGGGGGCCCUGAGGAAACUUUCAGUGGACAGCUACAGUGGACUACUCACUGGAGGAGGUCCCUGUAAAAACUUGGGCUCACAUUUGACCUACCCUGUGAUCCAUGUUGGGGGGCUGCUACAGUGGACAGCUACAGUGGACCGGUCACUGUAGCAGGUGCCUGUGGGGGGCGGGUCACAAUUGGCCUACCCUGUGAUCCAUCCCAGGGGUAAGCUUCAGUGGGCGUUACAGUGAGGGGUCCACUAAACGGGGGCGCUGUAGAAAGUUACAGGGGACAGCUUACUGAAGGGGGUGCCUGGAAAAACUUGGUCGCACAUUUGACCUACCCUCGGAUCCUUCUUAGAGGGCAGCUCCAGGGGGUCCUACAGUGAUCUAACCACUGAAGGGAGGCGCCAUAAAGAAUUCCAGUGGACCUCCCACUGAAGCAGGUGCCGAUAAAGGCUCGGGGUCACACCUGGCCUACCCUCAGAUCCGGGCUAGGGGACCGCUACAGUGGACCAUCCACUGAAGGGAGGCGCUGUAAAAGAUUCUAGGGGACAGCUACAGUGGACGACUCACUGUAGGAGGUACCUGUAGGGGGCGGGGUCACAGUUGGCCUACCCGGUGAUCCAUCCUAGGGGACGGCUACAGCGGGCGUUACAGUGGACGUCCCACUGAACAGGGACGCGGGAGAAAUUUUCAGGGGGCGGCUACAGUGGACUACCCACUGAAGGGACUGCCUGUAGAAAGUGGGGUCACACUUGAUCUACCCUUGGAUCCACCCUAGGGAGGUGCUUCAGUGGGCGCUACAGUGGAUGGUCCUCUGGGCGAGGGCGCUAUAAAAGAUUUUAGUAGACGACUAUAGUAGACCGCCCACUGUAGCAGGUGCCUGUGGGAGGUGAGGUUCACACUUGACCUACCCUCGGAUCUCCUCCUGGAGAGAAAUUCUUCUAAGGUCGUCGAUCCGCGGAUUUGCACCAAACGUUUUGGUGAGGGGGGGGGGGGGGGUCUCAAAUUUUUUGCACACAAAACGUUUUUCGGAACCCCCAAAUCCUGCCAGAGGCAUUUGCACACAGAUUUUAAGGCCAAAGGAAGUCGGUGGGUAUAUAAGGGGAGGUGUCCUGAGUGGGUCGGGGGGCCUAAGGGAGAUGGUGCUGGGUGAUUCUAGCGUGUCCCUCGGGGUGAUAGGUCGGUGUCCAGUGGUCAUAGGCGUGGGUCGGGGACUGAUUCUUAGAGGUUUUGGGGGUACCUAGGCAUGGAGGCCCCCGCUAUCGGGCGUGGGUUGUAGGCUAUCUGUCCGCUAGGGGUCCGCUGGGGGCGGCUGCGAGGGGGUGCGAGGGGCGAGGGGCUAGGACUUCAGGGGGGCUCGUGGCUAGCUGGGGCCACGGAUCGUGAUACGUGCAGGCCUAUCGAGGGGCUCGUGGGGAGCUGGGGGAACCCCUUUCCCGGGGCUGGCCUUCUCUGAGGGCCAAGCGCGGGGGGGGACGAGGGCCAGGCCGCCCUUGCCGUCACGGCAGAAGGCCCGCGGAGGGGCAGGGCCUCUGGGAGAGGGGAGAGGGGAUCGCCGGGUAGGCCAGGUGUGCGGGGCGGCGGCCUCGGACGGAUUUUUCCUCCCCCUUUUCUCCUUGUUCCUGUUUGCCCUCUGCACGGCAGCGUCACCGGGGCUUUCCAGGCACUUUCGGCGGGCUCGGGCGCUGGGGUUAGGCUCUGGAGGCCCUUGGGGUUAGCGCUGGGGGCGUUGGGGUUAGGGUUAUGGCGGGGAGGAUCGCAGGGUAGGUCAAGUGUGUAGGGUUAGGCUACAGGGGACUUGACGCUGUAGAGCCUGUAAGUUAUAGGGGGGGAGCCCUAUAAGACGCUGUAACUUCCAGGGGCGGUAGGGCAGGUAGGAUCCGAGGGUAGGCCCGGUGUGAUCCAAGGGUAGGUGAGGUGUGAUCCAAGGGUAGAUGGGAUGUGGAUGCGAGGGUAGGCGAGGUGUGAGAGGGGGACUUGGGGAAAGCUCCAGGCUGUAGAAGCCUAGGUGGGCACCCCUAGGGGGGUCCUUACAGCGAUGUGAGGCCCUGGAACCCCCCUGGGGCGGUCGCUGGAGAAGUGAGAGGGGAUCCAAGGGUAGGUCAGGUGUGUGGGGGGUGGAGAGUGAUUCCGAGGGUAGGUCAAGUGUGAGGAGAUGAUCUUAUCCUCUUCCCGACCCCCUUUCGACACGUUCCCAUGCCCUCCCGACCAUAUCAAGGGCGCUGAUUCCAACGCCGUUGCCCGCUUGUCCGUAGGGGCUCGGGUUCGCCCGCAAUCCGACCUCGCCCUAGGGCAGUGAGACCUACAGCGUUCGAUAGCCCUGCUGACUUCCGUUAGGGUCACUCUUCAGGCUUCGAUACGCUGGAGGAGACCCCUAUCAACUUGGUCGGGGGACUUUACAGAGGGACCCCCCCCCCCCUCCGAUUUUUUUUUUUUGGAUCUUGCAAAAUGGUCAGGACCUCUAUUCAAGUUGCACCUAUUUCUCCUCAACUGAAAGAAACUUUUCCAGUCCGGCAGAUAUUUGAGGGUAGCGACCGCAGGAAAGGUGCUUCCCGGCUCGGGGAAUCUAACGCCGCAGCCCGUUUGGCCGUAGCUGGGAGGGGGCCCGAGAUAUUGAAUUUAUCGGCAAAGUAUUUGGGACCCCCCCCCCCUCUCAAACUUUUCCCCGGCGGCCCUGGGACCGGUCCCCGUGCCCCCCCGACUAUAUCGAGGGCGCUGAUUCCAACGCGGUUGCCCGCUUGUCCGUAGGGGCUUGGGUUCGCCCGGAACCCGACCUCGUCCCUAGGCAGUGGGACCUACAGCGGUCGACAGCCCUGCCGGAUUUCCGCUAGGGUCACUCUUCAGGGUACCCCCCUCACUGGAGUCGACCGCCGGAAAAAAAACUACAGGGUGCGAGUGCCCUGGAAGGGGGGAGGUGCGGCGGUGCGGGUGCGGAUCGCGAAUUUUUCUAAGGUCGUCGAUCCGCGGAUUUGCACCAAACUUUUUGGUGAGGGGGGGGGGGGUUUCAAAUUUUUUGCACACAAAACGUUUUUCGGAACACCCAAAUUUUGGCAAAGUCAUUUGCGCACAAAUUUUAAGGCCAAAAGAAGUCGGUGGGUAUAUGAAGGGAGCAGACUGGAGUCAAAUCGAAUAAAUCUCACAGUGGGUUACGGCGGUCUAACAACUAACGUGACACACUGGGAGUACCUUUAAUUAGGUACGGUGACCACUGCGAAGGUUCUGUCUCCUUUUUGCGGGCUAUUACUUCAGUGAUACAUACGCUACAACAUGCCUAGCAUGGGCGCCUUAACCAGGUCGAAGUCGCUAUUUGCUUGAUUUCCCUGGGGCGCGCGGUAACCAAUCCGUUGUACCAUAUUUGCCAGACUCCAUCUAUUUCCGGUUAGCACUCAGGCAGCGUGGGGGCCCAGACCUAGCCGGCAAAGUGGAGUCGCCUGUGGAAGCAGUCACCUGUCACGUAAAACUCUCAGGCCUGUGGAAGCGCCAAACGUCGCAUCGGCCUCGGUCGGUGCGCGCGGUUGGGGUCUGUGGAUUAAUGGCCGAUGGCCUAUCCUAAUUCUUAAGACACACUCGGGGGUAAGCCUGAGCAGGUAGCCGUCCCCGGACGUGACCUGCGAACGGUAUCCUCCUCCUGCGGGACACAUGUUACACGCUGCGACGGUGCCUGGCACUCGAGCUUUAGUGUAGCGGACUGCCCUGUGGGGAACUCAGUGGGGGCAAUUGGAUGGCGCGCGAGCCCUGUGAGCCUUGCUCCGGGGUGCUGCGCGCUGCGGUGUAAACCGCCUUCUCAGUGCAACAACUCUGCCUCCUUCGGGGGGUCGCGUUCGGCUCCGGUCGUCCGCUCAAGAUAGUUACCUGGUUGAUUCUGCCAGUAGUCAUAUGCUUGUCUC